AAUUCGCCCUUCCUACGGGGGGCAGCAGUCGGGAAUAUUGGUCAUGGGGGAAACCCUGAACCAGCAAUGCCGCGUGAGUGAUGAAGGUUUUCGGAUCGUAAAGCUCUGUCUUUGGGGACGAAUAAAUGACGGUACCCGAGGAGGAAGCCCCGGCUAACUACGUGCCAGCAGCCGCGGUAAUA
rnacentral:rRNA from 1 species